CUACCAUGGCUUUCACGGGUAACGGAGGAUUAGGGUUCGAUUCCGGAGAGGGAGCCUGAGAAACGGCUACCACUUCCACGGAAGGCAGCAGGCGCGUAAAUUACCCAAUCCUGAUUCAGGGAGGUAGUGACAAGAAAUAACGGGUCGGGGUUUUGCCCCGGGACUGCAAUGAGACGAAUUUAGACCCCUUAUCGAUCAACAAUUGGAGGGCAAGUCUGGUGCCAGCAGCCGCGGUAAUUCCAGCUCCAAUAGCGUAUAUUAAAGUUGUUGCAGUUAAAAAGCUCGUAGUUGGAUUUCUGGUAGUGGGUUCGAGCGCACAUGCGUGAUGUCUCAUGCCCGUUGCCAUCCUUCUGUUAACCUGUCAGGGCACUCAUUUGUCAGUUAGGGGCACAGAUAUUUUACCUUGAGAAAAUUAGAGUGUUUCAGGCAGGCUUGUGCCCGGAUACAUUAGCAUGGAAUAAUGGAAUAGGACUUUAGCCUCUUCUGUUGGUCUGAGGGGUUGAAGUAAUGAUUAAUAGGGAUAGUUGGGGGCAUUAGUACUUAACUGUCAGAGGUGAAAUUCUCGGAUUUGUUAAAGACUAACUUAUGCGAAAGCAUUUGCCAAGGAUGUUUUCAUUAAUCAA
rnacentral:rRNA from 1 species